UACGUAGGUGGCAAGCGUUGUCCGGAUUUACUGGGCGUAAAGGGAGCGUAGGUGGAUAUUUAAGUGGGAUGUGAAAUACCCGGGCUUAACCUGGGUGCUGCAUUCCAAACUGGAUAUCUAGAGUGCAGGAGAGGAAAGGAGAAUUCCUAGUGUAGCGGUGAAAUGCGUAGAGAUUAGGAAGAACACCAGUGGCGAAGGCGACUUUCUGGACUGUAACUGACGCUGAGGCUCGAAAGCGUGGGGAGGCAAACAGGAUUAGAUACCCUGGUAGU
rnacentral:rRNA from 1 species